UAAUUUCUGAGAAAGCAAUGGAAGGGGCACA
rnacentral:piRNA from 2 species